UUCUGAAAAAAAAAAAAAAAAAAAAAACCAAAAACCAUUUCUUGGGUGGUUUGAAGAAAUUCUAAGGAGAUCCAAGUGAAAGCAAAGCCAAAGAAGUAGAUUAAGCUUAGUUCUAGCCUUUUUAUGUGGUUUGAGGUUUAGAAAAGCUUGAAGAGAUUGUUUUCGCCGAAAGUUGCUCUGAUAAGCACAUCAAUACCUAAGACAUCACUUGUUACACGGUGAAAUAUAUUUUGGACAAAAGGUAGAGAAAGAAAUGUGUGAAUGACAUGAGGAGAACUGAAGCAUGGUCCUGACCCUGAUUUGUACAUAUGAACAUAUCGACCUUUUUGUGGGUUAUUUCAGUUAUCAGUGAGAUGUUUGUAAUAAAGUGUGAAGUUAUGUUUUGAAAACAAA